rnacentral:lncRNA from 1 species
UUGUUGGCAGAUAUUUUGAGUAAAUUCAAGACGAAAGAUGUUCAAAGAAGCUCCAAGACAUUCUUAUAUAGCAAGUUAUGUAAUAAUAGCUGGGUUAUCUGGGAAUUUAAUGUAUCUUCUCUCUGUUUGUGAAUGAAAUAGUAAUUAUGUAUGUGAAUUAAUGUAUCUUCUCUGUUUAUGAAUUUCAUGUAUGUUUUAGAAUUACAAUUUCUGUUUCAUAUGAAAUAGUAAUUAUGUAUGUGAUUUGAAAAUGUGUGCAAUGAAAACAUGAC